rnacentral:piRNA from 1 species
UCUCCUUGUGGCCAAUCGUGCAUGCGCAC